GGUACCAGGGCUGAACCUCUUGACCCGUUUGCUCUCUCACUGUCUCUGCUCCAUCAGACUCAUUGUGGGUCUUCAAACUAAAACAUCUACAAAAGAUCAUCGUAGAGGUCGGGUAGCCGCCAUGAGAUGAACACGUCACUAGCCAAUGGGUUUCAUCCUGAUGGAGCACUGUGUAUGCCGGCACACUGAAGUUUGCUAGGAGUGAGAGAAAGAGGGAAGAAGCGCACUUUCAGAGAAACCUCAAGAAUGUCAAGGUUUCCCAAAGUAGCCCUGUUGAAUGCAAGCACCAUGAAGUGUGUAUUUCCCAAAGAGUCCUCGGUAGUGAAAACACAAACUCACAAACAAGUAAUUGAAACAUAUAUAAACAAAUAUGCUGAUGA